rnacentral:lncRNA from 1 species
AUGGGAAGGCGAGCGACUGACUUGACCGCUCCGGUUCCAGUUCUAGGUGUUCCUGUGUUGGUUGGGGUUCAUGCGUGGAAGACAACAGAAGGAGAUAGAAGAGGAGGAGUGCUGCAACAUGCUUGCGUUGGUGUUCAGACUUCGCCUGGGAUAAGCAGGUCAACAACCUGCCUGACUGACUCCCUCUUUGAUACUAUUACCUUCACUUCUAGCAGAAAAAUCCAUAACAAAACAGAGGGCAAGGAUCUACUACAGCUAACAAAGGACGACAAUGAGAAAAAAGCGAUUUUAAAACAGAAGUGUGGAGAUGUCAAGUACAAAAAAGAAGUGUCUUUCAAAGCUCUAAGACAUGAGAGCUCUACAGAUGUGGCCUGCCUGAGAUCAAGUGGUGGAACUCAUUGCUACACCCGGGCAAUCAAAACCAAUCCACACAUUGCAGGGCACACAAGCAGCGCCAAGGCUAAAUUUAAGUCUGGGAAGCGCUACAUCAAUGGCAGCGUGGUGGAUUCAGAGGCAGUGGGUGGAAUCAGUGUAGAUAACCAUGAGAAAGAACCUGUAAAGGAGGAAAACUGUUAUCAAGAGGUUCAAAGCCAGUACAGGCAUCACGAAGAUGAGCCCAAGAAGAUACAGCCAUUAUCUGCAACUCAACCAAUCAGUGUGUCACAGAAAAUAUGCAACCACUGUGGUGGGAGACAGUCAGCAAGCAUCAGAGCCACCAGUGUGGGCGGCUCUUGUCUAGGGGAGACACCAUCAACAUCAGCCUGUGCCACACUCUCUGAUAAUCAGCCUUCGGCUUCGUCCCAAAUCUGGAGAAACCUUAAAAUAGCCCAGCUAAAGAAUGAAAACACUGAGAAAUGGACACAGACCACAAUUAAUCCACAAAGAAUAUUUCUUCAUGAGGAACUCAAAUACAGAAAAAUUCCACAUCCUGCAUGUCCGGUGCACUCAAGAGGGAAUACGGCUGCUGUAAAACAGCCGACUUCAUCAACGUCUGUACAACCGUCACCAUUCUCCAAUGCUAAAAGCAUGACUGUCACAAAAGCUACAAUCGAGCCCAGGCAUAAUGAGCACCAGGUUAAGCUUCCACAAGACACUCAUGUCACAAUGAGACCUCAGAUGGGAUCAGCUUCUAAAACCAACAAGAUCAACCAACACUCAUACACGUAUCCCAGGAGGCUCAAGUCAAUGGAGGAAAACUCAAUACAAAUUAAUUUACCAACAGAUAUGUGUUUGUCUGCACAGGCUGUACCUGUAAAAAAUCUAUCACCACCUUUUUAUUUGUGCACUAGAAACACUUUUAGCAUCAACACAAACCGGGACAGGUUUAACUCCCCAGAGUCUUCUAAAAAUAUAGGUAAUGCUACCAGUGCUAAGCACAAAAACGUCAGUCCAAAUUCCCCUAAAAACACCAUGACCUCAGCGUUUGCAUUAAACCAAAAUAAGAGUCGGUGUAUGCCUUUUAUGCAUGAUAAUCUAGUGAUUGGUCAUGAAAAGCCUAAAAUAAGAGCAUCACCUGCAAGUAAUAAAUCUUACAUUAAUGCUGUAGUUAGCUCAAAUACUUUGAACCAUGAAGAUGUUUUAGGCCAAGACAGUGUUUUACUCAACUCAUUCAAACCCAAAGUUUUUGUUUCAACACCGUCACUUCUAACUUCUUCAAACAGAUUUAAAGCCACCAGUUUAAAAACCAAAGUAUCUCAUCAUGUAGCCCUGAGGGACGCCUCUCAGGUGAAACAACCAGCUUCUCUAGAAAGUUCACGUCUGUCUAAAAAACAAGAGAAUUACUCUGUAUCCAAUGAGACUUUAUAUCAAUCAGCCCAAACACAUCAAGUACCUCAAGUAGCAAAUAAUAGAGCUCAAACUGGUGAUGAGUUUGGUUUUGUUCCCCAUCAGGAGAAUCGAUUCUGCAACUCUUUGCUUCACAUUUCUGAGACACAAACUCUGCGUAAAGAACACAACAAAAUAUGUGUUAGAAACCACUCUAAAUCCGCUAGCAACUCAGAUGAAGAAAUGCCUUCGAAAAAAGACAAACUCAAUGAUAAUCUAAUCAACGAAUUAGUGGCGCAUGAGUCAAAAGACCAUAAAAAUUCAAGUCUAUCACAGGCCACCAACCUUGAGAAUUACAUUUCCAUAAUUAAGUCAAACAGUUCAUGUCUGCAGGGUUGCAUAAACAGUCAACAACAAAAGUUAGAGCGUAAUUACGAAUAUAUGAAAGAGGACUGCAGACAGCAGUUUGAAUCAUGCCCACUGGUAUCAGUCAUAAAGUCCAACGCAGAAUCUGAUAUGUCAGUCUGGCAUUCAAACAUUGAGCUUGAACCAAAUAAAAAAUCAUCUCUUUUAGUCAAAGAACAAACAAAAUCUCAACCUGUCAUUUCAAAUGAGGAAAAAAGCUUUAAUAACCCCAUCCAUCAGACUUCUGGUUUCAUUACAUCACAUUUGCCACAGGCACACACAAUUCCACAUCAUUCCUUUCCUGUAUCAAACUUAUUUAGCACCAAGAGACCCCACUGUGCACAAGGUGGGCCUCAAUCUAAUUCCUUAAUAUCAUCAUCAACAACACAUUCAGCAUCACAUCACCACCUUCAGUCCAGUGAAGCAGAGGCAGUCAUCAAAGCUGAUUUACACCCAAGCCCAGCCCCACCUCAGUUAUGCCCAGAGGAAACAUGCUUGGCUCACUCCCACCCGAGCGACGCAGGGCUGUUAUUGCCG